CACGAGUGGCGAACGGGUGAGUAACACGUGAGUAAUCUACCCUGCACAUUGGGAUAAGCCCGGGAAACUAGGUCUAAUACCAAAUAUGACAAGUUAUCGCAUGGUAAUUUGUUGAAAGUUUUUCGGUGCAGGAUGAGCUUGCGGCCUAUCAGCUUGUUGGUGGAGUAAUAGCCUACCAAGGCGAUGACGGGUAGCCGGCCUGAGAGGGUGAUCGGCCACACUGGGACUGAGACACGGCCCAG
rnacentral:rRNA from 1 species